CCAGCUACAUAAACGAGCUCAGGGUCAUGGCCCCGUCCUCCCUUCCCUGUGAACUGCUGAUUAAGGGAACUGGUGGCUGAAAUUACUGCAAAGAAAUGUAUCUUCAAGCUGGGGUACAACAGGGAUGAGCAAUGCCAGGUGAAGGAGAAAGGAUUGCAGGAGUCCUACCAAAGGGCAAAGGAGGCCAACAGUCCAUUUGGUGCUGCCCCCGUAUACCUGCUGCUACUAUGCAGAACUUCAUGCAACACUGAGUGGGGAGCCCAGCACUACCCCACGAGUGACAGUGGACACCUCAUGACAUCUGAAGGAAGGCAUCCCACAACUAUACAAUGAUGAGGAGGAGGGGGAUGCAGAGCCCAGGGAGAGCCAGGAGCUCUUCUGGAUCCAGCCAACCCUGAGCCAGCCGAACCCAAGAAUGGAACCCACCAGAAAGGGGAAGGGAAUUCUGUGGCCUCAGUUGGGGUAUCCACACUCCUCCACACUUGCUAAAAGACUGACCUGGAUACAGAUGAAUAAGAAACAAACAAGGGAAAAUACAUUCUCUGCAACGUUGCCCCUUCCACUCAAUACAGCUAGAAAAUAAGGGGAACUCUUAUGGCUACACCUACACUGACCUGCAAAUUAUCCCUCUGCAUUUUGCACUUUCAGUGUUUUUAAUCUUUAUUUAAUAGUGUGUUCGUUGUUUAUUACUGCACACUAAAGUGUGAAAAACAUUGUGACAUGCUGUAUUUCAAAAUAGCACCGCCAUAUUCAGCACUAAUAUGAUUAUGAUAUGUUUUGUACAAAGUAUGCCUUGUGAGGCAUCAUUGAAAAAGUCUUGAUCUGUUGAACGUUAAUAAUCUGUUGAAUUGUAUGUGCUGUCAUUGUAUGUGAAGUUAUGAAGUAUUGCUACAUGUUUGCUACUGAAAUAUACAGUAAGUGGGAAACGCCUUCAGCUGGUCUUUCAAUGGCAACAAAGGACCAACUGAGAAGAUAGAUUUAUAUCAGCCAGACAUGUGUUGAUGGCCCAUCAAGAAGACUCCUCACAGAGGGCACAUACACAAUUGAGACUACCUAACCCCCAGGUCACAGCAAUGAGGGUUGAUGGCAUCAUCACUUGGCCUCUCUCCUCCCCCAUCUCAACACCUGGAAGAUCAUCUGGAAGACACAGACUUUGAAUUUGGGAGAUUGGUCCUAGGCUGAAAGGGAAUUCAGCCUCUAUAUUAAGAACUGUAACCUGCCUGGAACAUCCAUUGGGGUGAGAAAAGCAGUUUGAUUCAAAUCUUGCUUAGUCUGUUAAAGUUAGAAUUUAGACUAAAGGUCUAUUUUUUAUUUCUUAUGUAACCGAUUUUGACCUGUGUGACUAACACUUAUAAAUCGAUCUUUCUGUAGUUAAUAAACUUACUUUAAUGGUUUAGCC